rnacentral:rRNA from 1 species
UACGGAGGAUGCAAGCGUUAUCCGGAUUUAUUGGGUUUAAAGGGUGCGUAGGCGGGAGAUUAAGUCAGUGGUGAAAUCCUGCAGCUUAACUGUAGAACUGCCAUUGAUACUGGUUUCCUUGAGUAUAGUUGAAGUGGGCGGAAUGUGUAUUGUAGCGGUGAAAUGCUUAGAUAUUACACAGAACACCUAUUGCGAAGGCAGCUCACUAAACUAAUACUGACGCUGAGGCACGAAAGCGUGGGGAGCAAACAGGAUUAGAUACCCCGGUA